UUAAGCGACUAAGCGUACACGGUGGAUGCCCUGGCAGUCAGAGGCGAUGAAGGACGUGCUAAUCUGCGAUAAGCGUCGGUAAGGUGAUAUGAACCGUUAUAACCGGCGAUUUCCGAAUGGGGAAACCCAGUGUGUUUCGACACACUAUCAUUAACUGAAUCCAUAGGUUAAUGAGGCGAACCGGGGGAACUGAAACAUCUAAGUACCCCGAGGAAAAGAAAUCAACCGAGAUUCCCCCAGUAGCGGCGAGCGAACGGGGAGGAGCCCAGAGCCUGAAUCAGUGUGUGUGUUAGUGGAAGCGUCUGGAAAGGCGCGCGAUACAGGGUGACAGCCCCGUACACAAAAAUGCACAUACUGUGAGCUCGAUGAGUAGGGCGGGACACGUGGUAUCCUGUCUGAAUAUGGGGGGACCAUCCUCCAAGGCUAAAUACUCCUGACUGACCGAUAGUGAACCAGUACCGUGAGGGAAAGGCGAAAAGAACCCCGGCGAGGGGAGUGAAAAAGAACCUGAAACCGUGUACGUACAAGCAGUGGGAGCACAGAGCAAUCUGUGUGACUGCGUACCUUUUGUAUAAUGGGUCAGCGACUUAUAUUCUGUAGCAAGGUUAACCGAAUAGGGGAGCCGAAGGGAAACCGAGUCUUAACUGGGCGUUAAGUUGCAGGGUAUAGACCCGAAACCCGGUGAUCUAGCCAUGGGCAGGUUGAAGGUUGGGUAACACUAACUGGAGGACCGAACCGACUAAUGUUGAAAAAUUAGCGGAUGACUUGUGGCUGGGGGUGAAAGGCCAAUCAAACCGGGAGAUAGCUGGUUCUCCCCGAAAGCUAUUUAGGUAGCGCCUCGUGAAUUCAUCUCCGGGGGUAGAGCACUGUUUCGGCAAGGGGGUCAUCCCGACUUACCAACCCGAUGCAAACUGCGAAUACCGGAGAAUGUUAUCACGGGAGACACACGGCGGGUGCUAACGUCCGUCGUGAAGAGGGAAACAACCCAGACCGCCAGCUAAGGUCCCAAAGUCAUGGUUAAGUGGGAAACGAUGUGGGAAGGCCCAGACAGCCAGGAUGUUGGCUUAGAAGCAGCCAUCAUUUAAAGAAAGCGUAAUAGCUCACUGGUCGAGUCGGCCUGCGCGGAAGAUGUAACGGGGCUAAACCAUGCACCGAAGCUGCGGCAGCGACACUGUGUGUUGUUGGGUAGGGGAGCGUUCUGUAAGCCUGUGAAGGUGUACUGUGAGGUAUGCUGGAGGUAUCAGAAGUGCGAAUGCUGACAUAAGUAACGAUAAAGUGGGUGAAAAGCCCGCUCGCCGGAAGACCAAGGGUUCCUGUCCAACGUUAAUCGGGGCAGGGUGAGUCGACCCCUAAGGCGAGGCCGAAAGGCGUAGUCGAUGGGAAACAGGUUAAUAUUCCUGUACUUGGUGUUACUGCGAAGGGGGGACGGAGAAGGCUAUGUUGGCCGGGCGACGGUUGUCCCGGUUUAAGCGUGUAGGCUGGUUUUCCAGGCAAAUCCGGAAAAUCAAGGCUGAGGCGUGAUGACGAGGCACUACGGUGCUGAAGCAACAAAUGCCCUGCUUCCAGGAAAAGCCUCUAAGCAUCAGGUAACAUCAAAUCGUACCCCAAACCGACACAGGUGGUCAGGUAGAGAAUACCAAGGCGCUUGAGAGAACUCGGGUGAAGGAACUAGGCAAAAUGGUGCCGUAACUUCGGGAGAAGGCACGCUGAUAUGUAGGUGAAGUCCCUCGCGGAUGGAGCUGAAAUCAGUCGAAGAUACCAGCUGGCUGCAACUGUUUAUUAAAAACACAGCACUGUGCAAACACGAAAGUGGACGUAUACGGUGUGACGCCUGCCCGGUGCCGGAAGGUUAAUUGAUGGGGUCAGCGCAAGCGAAGCUCUUGAUCGAAGCCCCGGUAAACGGCGGCCGUAACUAUAACGGUCCUAAGGUAGCGAAAUUCCUUGUCGGGUAAGUUCCGACCUGCACGAAUGGCGUAAUGAUGGCCAGGCUGUCUCCACCCGAGACUCAGUGAAAUUGAACUCGCUGUGAAGAUGCAGUGUACCCGCGGCAAGACGGAAAGACCCCGUGAACCUUUACUAUAGCUUGACACUGAACAUUGAGCCUUGAUGUGUAGGAUAGGUGGGAGGCUUUGAAGUGUGGACGCCAGUCUGCAUGGAGCCGACCUUGAAAUACCACCCUUUAAUGUUUGAUGUUCUAACGUUGACCCGUAAUCCGGGUUGCGGACAGUGUCUGGUGGGUAGUUUGACUGGGGCGGUCUCCUCCUAAAGAGUAACGGAGGAGCACGAAGGUUGGCUAAUCCUGGUCGGACAUCAGGAGGUUAGUGCAAUGGCAUAAGCCAGCUUGACUGCGAGCGUGACGGCGCGAGCAGGUGCGAAAGCAGGUCAUAGUGAUCCGGUGGUUCUGAAUGGAAGGGCCAUCGCUCAACGGAUAAAAGGUACUCCGGGGAUAACAGGCUGAUACCGCCCAAGAGUUCAUAUCGACGGCGGUGUUUGGCACCUCGAUGUCGGCUCAUCACAUCCUGGGGCUGAAGUAGGUCCCAAGGGUAUGGCUGUUCGCCAUUUAAAGUGGUACGCGAGCUGGGUUUAGAACGUCGUGAGACAGUUCGGUCCCUAUCUGCCGUGGGCGCUGGAGAACUGAGGGGGGCUGCUCCUAGUACGAGAGGACCGGAGUGGACGCAUCACUGGUGUUCGGGUUGUCAUGCCAAUGGCACUGCCCGGUAGCUAAAUGCGGAAGAGAUAAGUGCUGAAAGCAUCUAAGCACGAAACUUGCCCCGAGAUGAGUUCUCCCUGACUCCUUGAGAGUCCUGAAGGAACGUUGAAGACGACGACGUUGAUAGGCCGGGUGUGUAAGCGCAGCGAUGCGUUGAGCUAACCGGUACUAAUGAACCGUGAGGCUUAACCUU
rnacentral:rRNA from 2 species